ACGGAAGGCAGCAGUGAGGAAUAUUGGUCAAUGGGCGCAAGCCUGAACCAGCCAAGUAGCGUGAAGGAUGACUGCCCUAUGGGUUGUAAACUUCUUUUAUAUGGGAAUAAAGUGAGCCACGUGUGGUUUUUUGUAUGUACCAUAUGAAUAAGCAUCGGCUAAUUCCGUGCCAGCAGCCGCGGUAAUACGGAAGAUGCGAGCGUUAUCCGGAUUUAUUGGGUUUAAAGGGAGCGUAGGCGGGUCCUUAAGUCAGUGGUCAAAGCGUGUGGCUCAACCAUACCACGCCGUUGAUACUGGGGACCUUGAGUGCACAUAAGGAUGGUGGAAUUCGUCGUGUAGCGGCGAAAUGCUUAGAUAUGACGAAGAACUCCGAUUGCGAAGGCAGCUGUCCGGGGUGUAACUGACGCUAAUGCUCGAAAGUGCGGGGAUCGAACAGGAUUAGAUACCCUGGUA
rnacentral:rRNA from 1 species